rnacentral:misc_RNA from 1 species
AGUAAACAAAAUCUUCAAAUUCAAGAACAAUCUGGUUUUCAAAAUUGAUAAGGUGACUCUAAAUCUACAGCUCAAAAUGGCCAGGAAUAUGUCCUGAGAUAGAAAAAAAAAAUUGUUAUUCUCUGGCUGUAUUAACUGUGGAAAUAGCAAUCUUCAAAUGUUUGUCUUUCUCCUUGUUUCCUAAUAUUUGUCAUUUGAUAGAGCUUGCAUUUUUCCUUGAUGUGGUUUUUCUGGUUCCAUUAGUCCAUGUCUUUUCUUUUGUGUUAAUGAUGAAUUUGAUUUUUUGCAUCUGACAUAUUUCCUCAUCUUUCUUCUAUGCUAAUGCAGCGCAUACUGGAAAUCUGAAGA